rnacentral:rRNA from 1 species
GCAGCAGGUCUCCAAGGUGCGAAGCCUUUAGUGUCUAGAUUAAUGUAGGUAAGGGAAGUCGGCAAAAUAGUUCUGUAACUUUGGGAGAAGGGAUGGCUCUGAAGGUUGAUCCAGUCAGGUUGACAGUAGAAGUAUUUAUGACAUUGUGUUGUCGCCGGGUGGACUUCGCGUCUGCCUGGAUGAUGACCGAAGUUGUGUUUAUGGACAUUGUUAGCUGUUUCGGUUUAUUUUGAUGUGAUUGGAAAUUAUCAACUACUUCAGAACUGGCACGAACUGAGGGAAUCCGACUGUCUAAUUAAAAC